UCCUUGGUGGUCCAGUGGUUAGGACUUGGCACUUCCACUGCCAGGGGCCCAGGUUUGAUCCCUGGUUAGGGAA